GCGUUCCGUGCUGGACGGGCCGUGCCAGGCACGGCCCGUUUAGUCCUUUGGCCCAGUGGGCCUGGGCCGGGCCGGCCCGGCACGGCCCGUUGCCCAACACUACAUGCCUGGCCGGCCCGGCCCGUUGCCCAACACUACAUGCCCCCAUGGAAUUCUUCUAGAUCUAUGCCAAGGGCAGGAGAAUAAAGGUCGUCCACACAAUAUUGAAUUUUAAUAUAUAUGUACAUGUGCGGGUAUACAUACAUACAUACAUACUACAAAUCAAUUGUUAUUAUAAAAUUUAACUUAUUGUUUAUACACUUUUAAAAAAAAUAUUUUAAAAUUUCUGCACCUAAAAAAUGUUUUUCUGAUAUUUUAUAAACAGCCAAGGCAGAUAAUCUCCAAGAAUAUACCUUCACAGUUUAGGAAGGCAUGCACAAGAUGGAACUUUUGUGCCUUGUUCUGUUGACUUUUUAUAUCAAAUGAUCAAGACUGCUCCCGAAGUCAAUGGCGCCAGGUAACAUCCAAACCAGAGCCACCAUUAUAAGUCCAAAAAUUUGCUGAAACAGAAAUAUACCCAUUAUAUGAUUUUAU
rnacentral:lncRNA from 1 species